rnacentral:lncRNA from 1 species
UGCUGAUCCUCAAAGGAAGAUCCUAGCCCACCCCCUAGCCUUGCUCCUAUACUCCAUCACCCACCUGAGUUCACAUGCUGACCUGUCCCCGGGCCUUAGCACAUCACCCUGUGCUCCUUAGGGGCCUGCCCUGCCCACUGCUGCUGCCUUUCCUUUUUAGGGUUCCGUCAAGACUUUAUUUGCUCUCCCAGCUAUUUAGAGCAGGCCAAUGUCCUCAAAGAUCUGCUUUUUACUCCUUUCCUGAGGCUGCCCUGGCAAGAUUCUGGGGGAAAAAAAUUCCCAGGAGUCUUACUCAUACCUGUACUACCUAGAGUGUGCUCCCAGGUCAUAGGCCAAGGAGUCUCC